GUGAUGGCCAUCUGGGAUGACUCAACAUCCAUGUCGGGGAUUGCUGAAUGUACCACAUGCAUCUCUAACUGUCACAUGCCGUAGGAUGCCAGGCUCAGACAGAUGCAGGACAAAAGGUGCUGUUGUUUACCACUAUGUUCCCUCUCUCCUGCCCUCCCUUCAUCCUCCUAUCCUCUGUUUGCCUCUACGGGAGACAGGCCCCUUCCUGCUUCAGUCAAGCGGGCACCGCGUUGCUGAUCUGAAUGUGAUGGCAGAGAGAGAGAGAGAGAGAAAAAAAAAUGAAGGCGGGUGGGUGGGUUUGUGGAGAUUGAGGGCUGUGGUGGGUCAGAACCCAACAAGCUGUGCUGGGAGGCUGUGCUCUCUGUAUCUCUCCUUCUUUCUCCCAGCACCAGGUGGUGUGUUGCCUGUUUCCACCUGCUCACCUGAAAUGCCACCGUGCCUCUCCUGGACAAUCACCAUGUGUCAUGCAGAUUACUUACCAACACAAGGCAGAGAGGCAGACGUGUGUAGGACACUGAGCGACAUGCUUUAGCCACCCCACGGACAUCCUAUGGAAAACUCAAACCAGACAGCUGAACUGCUGUUUUGACGACUGUUUGAUUUUCUCAGUGACUCAGUCUCAGCAUCACUGCUAUAUCCUGUCUGUGUGUUGUGGGACUCCAGGUUCCUGCAGUCUUGGAACAUGACUACAAGUGUUUCCUGCUUCACUUCCUGAGUACAGAGCUCUUGGUGGCAGUGGCGGCGAGGGCGGGGUUAGAGAUUGAAGACACUCUGUACUGAGCAAGCUCUGCCAUCAUGCCAUAUAUCUCCCUGUGACUCAUUUAUUACAUCUGCCUAUGUUAAUGGCAGGAACACAACGGCGAGCAAACAAAGAGCACAUGCCAGUCACCGCAUAGGACCAUGGAACCAGAGAGGAUGUAAUGAGGCCACCAGUUAGUGACACCUGAACAGAGUCCUCUGCUGGAUCAGACCAUCAGCACUUUCUAAUCAGACUUUCAAUUUCAAAAAUAGCACCUAUGUAAAUCGUAAAUCUUUCUCCGGAGUACGCCAGGCUUUUGUGUUUCCCCUUCUCUAAUUGUGCUGUGUCUCUGGAUCAUAAAUCUCUCAGGGAAGAGCCAUUAGCAAAAAUGGCUGGCAGAGACCCCGCCACAGGGACGCGGCUGUUCCAUUCACACUGAGAGGAUGUCCAGAUACUGACUCGAGACACAAGUGUAUGCAGUGGCAGUCCAUUCAGCGGGGUCAGAUGACAGCAUGUCUGGCUUGGCAGCCUCGCUUUUCAUGUCAGCAG